CAGAUGAAAAAUUUUUUUGAUGUACUUUCUUGGGGGAGUUUUUGGUGAUGUCGACGUGGAUUGAAAGUUUCAAGCUCAUAUGGUUGGUGUUGUGAUUACAGUAUUGAGAACUUCAAGGAACAUAGACGUUAGUUUCCAGCCAGGAAGUCGAGAAAGAAGGAGAGCAAGAGUUGUAAAUUUACUCAGAUAGCUUUUGCACCGCUCGUACAUUAGAGUUGGAAACUGGUUUAGUACAUUAUGAUACCUCAUAAUAAAUAAACCAUUAUGAAA